rnacentral:rRNA from 1 species
ACUCAAAUGAAUUGACGGGGACCCGCACAAGCGGUGGAGCAUGUGGUUUAAUUCGACGCAACGCGAAGAACCUUACCAAGGCUUGACAUCCAUAGAAUCCUUAGGAAACUAGGGAGUGCCCUUCGGGGAGCUAUGAGACAGGUGGUGCAUGGUUGUCGUCAGCUCGUGUCGUGAGAUGUUGGGUUAAGUCCCGCAACGAGCGCAACCCCUAUAUUUAGUUGCCAUCAGGUAGAGCUGGGCACUCUAGAUAGACUGCCGGUGACAAACCGGAGGAAGGUGGGGAUGACGUCAAAUCAUCAUGCCCCUUAUGUCUUGGGCUACACACGUGCUACAAUGGCCGGUACAGACGGAAGCGAAGCCGCGAGGUGGAGCGAAUCCGAGAAAGCCGGUCUCAGUUCGGAUUGUUCUCUGCAACUCGAGAACAUGAAGUCGGAAUCGCUAGUAAUCGCAGGUCAGCAUACUGCGGUGAAUACGUUCCCGGGUCUUGUACACACCGCCCGU